UCCAGCAUGGCCGCAGUCAAAUGACUGAAACAAGUAAAAGAGUAAAUUGUUUUGAAUUACUCAUGCAUUGUCUUACAGCUUUGAGGUUUCAAUGAUGUGAUUGUUUAUUUUUAGAAUGUCAGUGUAGGUUAGGUGUGAGAGGCUGGAUAUGGCUAGUUCAAAUAUAAAACAAGUAGAUUAUCUGGGCCAGAUGUGGCUGGUUUAAACACUAAAGGGUUAAUGGUGUGUGUCUGUGAGUGUGUGAAAAAGAGAAAUAACGUUGCAUUAAUAUCAGCUUUUGUUCCGUAUUAAGACACUGUUUGUCUUUAGCAUUUCUUUCUUUUAUCACCCUUAUCCUGCUUCUUGCAGAAGGUUCUGACUGUGAUAGAAGAGACCUUUGUUCUGAUGUUUUAUUUACAAUUUGAGAGGGUCUCUGCAUGUUUACUUGACCUGCUAGAAAUAGCAGCCAAAUUUUCUUCAAAUUACAUUUUACAUUCUCGAAAAAAGAGGAAGGUGCAUUCUAGGUACAUUAUAAUUUGGCAAAUAAGAUGGUAUGAUUAUCAUGUGUAAUGCCUUUUGACCUUAGGUCUGCUUGAUCAAAACUGACCUGGCGCUAAACAGCAAGAAUUGAACUUGAGAUCCAAAGACUGUUGGCAUCUCCCUAAAAAUUUUGUCGCUUGAUAACUAAAUAUUGCCAUGUUAUAAUAAUUUGAAUAAAACCUAUUCUGUCAGGUUGGUGUAAAUAUAAGCCUAUAGCUACCAGUUCCUCUUUAUUUCUGUUAAAAUUACAAUAAAUCUAUAGAAAGAUAGAUAACUUGUGUAAUUUGUUGUCGAGAAAUCCCUUCUCUGCUCUGUCAGAAAACCCGAAAGUGUGUGUGUGUGUGUGUGUGUGUGUGCAUAUGAUAUCUUGUAAAACAGUUUAUAAAAAUAGCAGCAGCUCUGAGGAAAGAGGAAGGCAUACCUGAGAUUCAAAGAUCAAGUCUUUUUUGCUAAAAAAUAUUUUAUAACUCUGUUGAAUUUCAUAACAAGAAAUUAGGCCUAAAGACUUCCUAGAAAUAUUUCAUUAAUUUGUUAGAGCAUCGGAUAAAAUGCCUUGCAGUAUAUAUAUAUUCUAGCUCUUUACAGUCCAAGUUCAAAUCCUGUAGUGGUCAUCUUUACCUUUUUAUCCUUUCAGGGUUGAUAAAGUACCUGUUAAGUACUGGGGUUGAUUUAAUCAACUAACUCCUACCCCAAAUUUCUGGCCUUAUUCCUAUUUUAGAAAUGAUGGCCAUUACUAAAUCCUCCCAAGGUUAAUUAAAAAUGCCUUAGGUAUUUAGUCAUGUCUGUUAAUAUUCUAAGUUUAGAUCUUGCUGUGGUUGAUUUUAGCUUUUCAUCUGUCUUGGGUUGAUAAAAUGAGUACAAGUCAAAUACUGGGGGAGGGGUCAAUAUAUUUGUCCCCUUCCAUCAAAUUUGAAAUCUUGUACCUAUGUAAGAAAGUAUUAGUGAGGUUGAUUAAUCCAAAUCUACUGGAAUAUAAUUUGUGGCAUUAUCUACAAGUGAGAAAUUUUUAACAUUAGUAGAAGAAACUGUGUGGAAUCCCAUCAUGUAUGUUUUGUUUGUCUCCUUACCAUUGCUUGACAACCGGUGUUGGUUUGUUUAUAUCCCCAUAACUGAGCGGUUCAGCAAAAAAGACUGAUGGAAUAAGUACCAGUCUUAAAAAAUAAUUACUGGGGUCAAUUUGUUCAGCUAAGCCCUUCAAGGUGGUGCUCCAAUAUGGCUGCAGUUCAAUGACUGAAACAAGUAAGGUGAAAGAUUAAUGAGAAGUAUUAUAAAGGAAAUAGUAAUCUUCUCACAAGAUUGAAGUAUAAUAUUGGUCCCCAGUUAAAGCCAUGUCAUUUCACUAACACUAAAAACGCCUUUAGGAAAUGCAUGUGUAUCUCCUAUAUAUCACUGUGACCGACCAGACUAUCAGAUGUUGCUACACAUCGCUGGUCACAAUGCGCUUUGCAUUGUUUUAGCCUUCAAGUGAUGCCACCCUGCUGGCUAAGCAAACAGGCCAACAGAAGAAAGUGAGAGAAAGUUGUGGUGAAAGAGUACAGCAGGGAUCGCCAACACCCGGUCUGGGAAUCGAAACUGCAAUCUUACAACCACGAGUCCGCUGCCCUAACCACCGGGCCAUUGCGCCUCCACAGUAUCUCCUAUAUAUAUAUACAAUAGCAAAAUAUGGCACCUCAGUAUCUAGUCAUGGAAAAGACCAACAUUAUGAAAAGUAAAAUACGAUGGUGCAGCAGAUGGUUCCACAUUGUCUCAACUGUCAGUUGCCACAGCUUCUGUCCUGUCAUUUAUGGCUUUGCCAAAAGCAUUCCUGCCAAAGCUUGUCAUUUCCUGUAAACACUCAUAAAUGUUAAUGGCAAACAUUCUAGAGAAUAUAUUUAUAUUUCACUUGGCUACAACAGUAAUUAAUGAUGGAUAGCUCUGUGGAGGCCAUAAAUGUUGACAGCUCUGUACAUGGAAGCAGAUUGCAAAUUUGUAUUUCUGUUGUUUCUAAGAGACUGCUAAUUGCAUAGAUUUAUAAUAUUUCAUGGAAUUUUACAAUAUUUUGAUAAGUAGAUUUUUAAAAAAAUAUGUAGUAAAGUAAGUCAGGUUGCCAACUAGGUGUGGAUUGUUGCUAAGACAUUAGACCAUAAUACUUUGCAUUCAUAGCAUAGCUAUAGGAGGCAAGAAUGUUGGUCUACCCUGGUGAACACUUUUAUUGGGGAAGUACUUUUGGGUCUUCUAUAUAAACCUGUAUAACUCAAGGGCUGUCCUGGGUGGCACACAUUGUAGCUACACCACUGUUUCAUGGUGUAUUUUCUUGAGAGCAAGUCAGCUUUGUGGAUCUUGUUUCUCUUCAAGCAACACUCUUGGAAGGAUUUGAGUUCAGCACUUAUAUUUACAGAGCUGUGUAUUAACAGAAUUGUUAGCAUUGGUUAAAACAUCUUGUGAUAUUAUUGCUCUUUGUUCUGAUUUCAAAUUCCACCAGUCCUCUUUACCUUUCAUUCUUCAGUGGUUGUACUACUCAUAUACCACAUAUUGAUAGUAUCCUACCCCUAAAUGUGUGACCUUCUUAUAUUGGAAAUUAGUUGAACAAAGCUCUUGCUGCUUAUAGUGGUCACCUAUGUUUACCCAUUGUUUUUACAUCUAAGUGUGCUGGGCUAUUUGAGAGUGAUAUGUCUUGACUUAGACACAUAGUACAGCAUUAUUGAUUGGAUAUGAUCCUUGAGUAUUUCUAUGAAACAUUCUAACUACUUGGCCAACUGGAGCUGUCCUUUAUUUAACGUUUCUACUCGAAAUAUUCUUAAAUGUUCUGUGAACUGGAUAUCAGUUGGUGGCUGAAGAUAUUUUGUAUCUAAAUGAAGCUAACCAGAUCCAUUUCAGAUUCAGCGCACCAUUAAUGGCAUGGGCAAUUGGAAACAGCAGAGUUAUGUUUUUUGCAUGAAGUUUAGGUUAAUGUAACCAGAACAUGAUUAUCAGUAAAUCUAUAAAUGUGUCCUUAACACUAAAAUAUGAUUUUGAACUGAGGAAGUUUUAUUACUGGAGCAUUUAUUAAAUUUGAUUGAAAUUUAAUAUAAUAUAUAUAAUAUAAUUUAAUAUAAUUUAAUAAUAUAUAAUAAUAAUGAAAUUAUUGUAUACAGUGCUCGGGUGCACCACAACUUGUCAGAAAGUGUGUAUAAAGUAUAUGCAGUAAUGUACAAAUGUCUGGAAAGCGAACAGUGUAUGAGUCAGAUACAUGCUUGUGUGUGUAUGGAGGGGAGAAAAUCAGGUGUAGUGUUGGCGAAUCUCAGGAAGCAUGGAAGUUUUGAAGGAUGCAGUGCUCCGACAACUAACGACUGAUGCCGGCAGUUUGUUCCAUGCUUCAGCAACUCUUAAUAGAUACUAUAUGAUUAAUCUUAAUUGUUAAGAUUAUAAAGCAUACACAGGCAUAUAUACACACGCACACAUGUUCUAUUAUCUUAGCACCAAGUCCUAUCUUUGUACUGAUGACCUACAGCUAGCUAUUACUACCACUGAUAUUAUACAUUUAUGUCCUUAUAUAUAAGUGAUUGUAUGUAAUGCAUAUAAGUUAAAUGGUAACCAUUUCUCUGUUUGAUCUAAAUCUCUGUAAGCAUGAUAAACCUUUGCCAAUAUCAUGGAAAUCAGAAUGCUCUUCUCCCAGUGUGAUCCAGUGCAGAGUAUAGACAAAUAUUUGAUAUAUAUAUAUGUCUAUGUAUAUAUUCAUGUAUGUAUAAAAUAAAAUCAAGAACAGAACACCUCUGCCACUAUCUGGCGUAUACAGGUGCUUACACUUAUCAAGUAUUCACCCUAAAUUUGCAGUACCAUGUAUGUAUAAAUAUAUGUAAAGUAGCAUGGUGUAUAAUACUAACUUCACACUCUAAAGAUAUUAACUAUUUGAUAUUAAUAUCAAUUGUAAAAUGGAGUCAAUUGGUUGAAUUUAGUCUUCACACCUUUAUAAAUAUUUUAAUUUCUUUAUCAUUUUUGUGUAUUUUACAUUAUUGCUUGGAAUGGCAAAUUUUAGAUUCUGUAUUUUGUUAUAUAUAUAUAUACACAUAUAUAUAUAUAUAUAUAUCUUUAGGUAAAUAUAUUCAAUGAGAAUAUUAUAUACUGAAUUUAUAUUGAGUGCUCCAUUGUAUAAAAAAUAUUAAUACUAUUAAAGUAUUUAUAUAUUUAAUACGAGCGAUAUAUACAUAUAUUUUUUAAUAUAUUAUUAUUAUUAAUAAAGAAAAUCAAUAUCCAUACUCAUCGUAACGAUGUACUCAGCAGCUUUUCUUUCAGCUCUUUACAUUCUGAGUCCAAAGAGACCAUCAAGGUUGACUUUGCCUUUCACACGGGUAUAUCGUUAUGAUGAGUCUGGAUAUUGGUUUUUUUCUUUAUUAAUAGUUAUAAUAUAUAUAUAUAUAUAUAUAUAUUGAUAAAUCAUCUUGUACUGUCGUGUUUCUUGUAAUUGUUCUGAAAAUUAGUUCUGUAGUUAGAGCAUUGGACAAAAUGCUUUGCAGUUUUUUUGCUUUUUUUAUGUUCUGAGUUCAACUUUGCCUUUCACCCUCCUGGGAUCAAUAAAAUGUAGUACCAGUGAAACAACUUAAAUCUUAAGUCUAGAUUAUGAUGAUGAUGUUAAGAAGAAAGUAGAAAAAGAAUUGAUUAUCCAAAAGUGACUUAAGAUUAACAUUGAAGUUAGUGAUGUGGUGGUGAUGAUGAUGUUUGCCAGGUUUCUUUCACACCUUAAAUAUUUGAUUGGGAGGCAGUUUUAAAAAAAGUUAAAAUUUGCAAAACAGAAAUUUUUUUUUUUGAAAAAUCGUCUUUCCAGAAAUUUCUUUUACUUUUUCUUCUAAAUAAUUUUUUUCCUAGGCAUUUAAAUUUUUUUUUUUUUUUUCAAGGCAGUGAGCUGUUAGAAUCAUUACCAUUCUGGACAAAAUGCUUAGCACCUUUUCUUUCAGCUCUUUUACAUUCUGAAUCCAAAAGAGGCCAUCAAGGUUGACUUUGCCUUUCAUCCUUUCGGAGAUGAUUAAAUAAGUACCAGUUGAGCACUGGGGUCAGAGUGACCUACUUACUCUUUCCUUUAAAAUUGCUGGCCUUGUGCCAAAAUUUGAAACGAUCAUUAUUAUUUUCAAUCCUUUUCUUGAUAGCGCAUCAUACAUGUAGGGGCCAGCUGGAUGUUUUGUAAGAUUCUGAUAUAAUCCGUUGCAUCAGGGGCAUAAAUGAAUUUACCUAUUUAUGUCGGGUUAUUUCCGAUAACAUGCCAAUAAAGGUUUGGUGCACCAUAUAAACCCUAUGUUGCUUUUGAAGAGGGUGGGCUACUAUGUAGCUGGGCCCGAAUCUAUUACAUUGUUCUAUCUCUUUCUCUCACACACAACUCUGUAAAGAAACAGUUUCUCCACCCC
rnacentral:lncRNA from 1 species